AGAUUUUAUGUUAAACGGCUCGUUCAGUGAAUCGCAGGGCGUCUCAGUGAUCAGCCGUGAAACAGUGAUUCUGUUCAAAUUCCCUUUAAAUUAUUAAAUGAUUCCCUUUGAGCUAAAUUGACCUGUUUCCGUUUCAGACAUAUGUGUAUUUGUUAUUACUUUUGGCAUUCAAUUACAUAUAUAAUGCUUUAGUCCAUCACUUUUUAAAUCUAAACAUUACAAGUUUUUAUGCUGUUUGUGUAAAAUCUUGUUGUGACUCGUUUAUGCAAUUAGUAUUUGAAAUCACUUUGUAAAUGUUUUACCACAGGACAUGUGGGUGGGAGUCCUGCACCAUGUCACAGGAGAACACAUGUGGGCUCUUGGUGAGUGUAAACAUAGCCCCUUGCUGGACGACAGAGAUAAAGAAUUGAUUGAGAGUGGUUCAGUGGCACAUGAGAGGCUGGCUGAAAUUAUUCUCAAUGAACGCUGGCUGAAGGUCGUCCCCAAGUAUCUGAAUUUCAGGUACAUAAGCAACUUUAUUUAGCUCUAUAUUGUAAAUGGUCAAAUCAACUAUGUGAAAGACAUUUUACUGUAAUUGACGUCGAUAUUACAUAAACAAGAUUAUUAUAAAAAAAAUACAUAUUAUGUAUUUUUAUCUAAUGUGCACAGAUUUGGAGUCGUUUCACAACCACAUACUGAUGUAUGCCAGCAAGCGCUUCAGCUUUUACCCCACCAGUUUAUGCUGCUCGUACCAUGCUGACUGGCCUCGAUUACAACCAUCAUCUCCAUAGACUUGCCAGGAGAAAAGCUGAUGGCACAAUUCAGUAAGUUUUGAAUUUUUUUUAUAAAAUAAAUGUUACAUUGUAAACUUUUCACUAAGCUGAUACACUUCUCUAUAUUGUCAGGUAUGGCAAGGUGUACAACAUAAGGUCCAGGAAGUGGAGGUUAUACUCAUUGAAGGUGGAGAAGGACUACAGCUACAUCUCUGACCUACAGUGUGCCAUCCUCCUUCGACGGAUAUCAGCUAAUAAGGGGAUUCCUAGAAGCAGAACCAGGAGACCUGAUGAUCCCCGUCAACAUGGCGUACUGUCUGGUGCACCUGCUCCAUCAACACAGGAGCUAUUGCAAAUUCAAGUCAGCAGAGGGUCAAUCGCUGCCGAAACAAUGAAUAAUCUCCACAGGACCAUAGCUGAUGUGAUGCUACGUCCCAAGUCUGACCCAUCUACCAGUCAAGAUACCUCUGGAAACCCAAUGUCUUAUGUGUUAUUGUUGAUUGUGCUAAUGUUUUUUAUAUUUGUGAUUAUAGUUUCUAGCUUUAGUAAUACAGCAAUAAAAAAGUGACAUUCUACAUUUGGUUGUUGUUAUUGCCGAAAUAAUACAUAAAUUUAGUUUU
rnacentral:lncRNA from 1 species